UGCAGUAGUGUGGGGAUUUUUCGAUGCUGGCUUAUGAAGUCGCCUAUUAAUUACUUGUUGCGUUUACUAAGCCAAUAAGUAUAAUACGCAACAGCACAGC
rnacentral:antisense_RNA from 1 species